rnacentral:rRNA from 1 species
AUCCUACGGGAGGCAGCAGUGGGGAAUAUUGCACAAUGGGGGGAACCCUGAUGCAGCAAUGCCGCGUGGGUGAAGAAGCACUCCGGUGCGUAAAGCCCUGUCAGCAGGGAAGAAAAUGACAGUACCUGGACAAGAAGCCCCGGCUAACUACGCGCCAGCAGCCGCGGUAAUACGGAGGAUGCGAGCGUUAUCCGGAUUUAUUGGGUUUAAAGGGUGCGCAGACGGAGGUGCAAGUCAGUGGUCAAAUUGCGGGGCUCAACCCCGUACUGCCGUUGAAACUGCAUCCCUUGAGUGCGCGAGAAGUA